rnacentral:misc_RNA from 1 species
UGUGUUUGGGUCGAAAGAUGGAUUAUGUUGUCUCCAUUGCUGAUAAUUUUUUCUGCUUAACUGGUUAGUAUUCUUAUUUAGUAUUUAUAUUAGUCUUGUAUUAGUCCUUUCUAUCAAUGUGUGGUAUGAUAUGUUUGAAUUCGUCUGAAACUCGUGUGUUGGUUGUGAAUAAUUAUGUGUUUCCAUCUAUGUAGCUCUCGCCUUUAGUAUUUUGUUUAGCAGGUUUGAACUAAAAGCUCAAGAGAUGAAUAGUCGCUUGACAUGGGUUUCCGGACAAGAUUUAGUUUAUUAUUAUAUUUCUAUUGCUCCAUUUUUAGUUUGCUAUUGUAAUACAUGUAGUAACUCUAACUCUCUAAUAUUAUUAAAUAACCCGGGGAAUCGCCUAAGGGCGAAGGAGUUACGCGCA